rfam:Schistosoma haematobium scaffold1520_9, whole genome shotgun sequence.
AUCCAGCUGACGAGUCUCAAAUAGAACGAAACGCAUGUCCUGGAU